ensembl:piRNA 21ur-10962 ncRNA
UUCUCCUAUCAACAAGCAUCU